UUAUCCCAAUGCACUGGAGACAGGCAGAGGCAGAAGAGGAGGCUAGGGGAUCUCUGAGCUCAAGGCCACCCUGGUCUAUAGAGUGAGUUCUAAAAGAGUCAAGGGUGCAUCGAGAAACCCUAAUCAGCCACAAGGAGCAAAAACGAUUCUGGAAGAUCAACAGAGUCAACUAAGCUGGACACUUGGGACUCCCAGAGGCUGAACCACCAACCAAAGAAUGAACAUGGGCUGGACCUAGGCCCCUACACAUAUAGCAGAUGUGCAGCUUGGUCUUUGUGCCAUUUCCCCAACAACUGGGGGCAGAGAAGAGUACCACUCACGCUUCAAAGAAGCUUCUCUUUGCAACAGAUGGGGCAUUACAGAAAAUCAUAACUGGUCAAAAUGCAGAGAACACCUGCUAAAGGGAUGCUCACCUCUAAUGGACAACACAACUCCUGCACCUAAGAGCCAGGGAACAUGGCAGACAAGGAGCAGAAAGACUGUGAGAGCUACAGGACCAGGAAAUCUGCGCUGUCUGUGUCGCCUAGAAAUGACAAGGUUUCACCCACAGUACCUCAACAGUAUGGCGGCCUAAACAAGACCAGAAGAAGAACACCAGCAAGUGACAUGCUAACACGGAAGGGACCCUUCCACAGAGAACUACAGGCAACUAACAACUGCUGAGUGAGGAAGCAUCUGUCUUCUCCAGGGACAGCCCCCUUAAUUGCUAUCCAUACCAAGUAGUCAGCCCUGAAAUCAUGUACACAUGAGCAACACUGAGUAGACCCCACAGGUUCUAUCAUAUACCGUGCAGUUGAGUGUGUGAGUGUUAUAUGUAACAGGAAUUAAAAAGAGGCCAUGGACUUAAGGGGGAAGGGGCAGGGCGUGGUAGGAGUAGGAGGGGGAAAGGAAGCAGGGAGCAAUUUAAUUAUUAAUAGAAUGGAAUGAAGAGAGUGGAGGGAGAAAUAGCAAACUAGAUGAGAAUUAGACAAAAUCAUGCGAAAGAAAAAAGUAGAAGAGAAUUAGAACUAUAUAAUGCUUUUUCAAUUAUGCAAAAAGAAAAAAUUAACUUUACAGGAAAGAUUUGGUCGGUUUAUACCUUAGACAGAUUAUUGAUAUAUUAACAAUUACAGUAAUAGGACAAAUCGAAAUCAUAUACUGCCUGACAGGAAUCAAUGAGAAUACAAAAGCAUGUCUGUGGUGUUUCUGCUUAAAAAGCUCAAAUUUUAUCAUAACAUUAGAUAAAAGCAAACGGAAAGACAUAAGUGCCUUGUAAUCUUCAAGUAUCAAAAACAACGAAAGCUUUAAAAAAAAAAAAACAAAGGUUCAAGAACUAUUUUAUUUUAGACUUGGGGACUAAAAAAGGGCACAGCUAAUCAUAACACGAUUUUUGAACUAAAUCCUUUGCUAUAAAGGGCAUUACUGAAAGAACUGGCAACAUUUGAAUAGGGCUGAGGAUUAGAAGGUAGUAAUGCGACACUGCAGCUUCUGUGAUUUUGAUGGCUAGGACAGGUUAUGAUGACUCUUAUUGGAAAUAUAUGCUAAAGUAUUCAGGGGUCAUAAGGUCAAUAACGUAUUACCAAUGAUUCCAGAAAUAAAUGGCUCCCUUAUGCUGUUUUUGCAACAUUUCUAUAACUAUAGUGUUUUCAAGUUUUACAACAAGGUAUUUAGUCUGGAACUAUACCUCAUUUGGCAGAGUACUUGUUUAGCAUGUACAAAGCCAUGAGUUUGCUUUCCAAUACAGCAUAAAUCAAACCAAACCAAAUCAAACCAAAGGAGGAUGGUGUACAUCUGGAAUCCUAACACUGGGGAGGUCACAGGGAAACCGGAAGUUCAAGGUCAUCUUUGGUUAUUUAGUGAGUUCCAGGAAAGCCAGCUUUCCGGGAAAGCUCUUAAGACAUGAGCCUUGUCUUACGAAAGGCUCUGAUAAGAUGGCCUGGUGGGUGACAGCACUUAAGGCCAAACCCAGCAUCCUGUCUCUGGCCCUUGGAACCCAUAGAGUGUUAGAACUGAUGCCUACAAGUUAUGCGCUGACCAGCACAUGUACAAUGUGAUACACCGGCACACACGAGUCACACAAAACAGAUAAAUAGAAAAGACAUAACUAGAUAAAGGUUGGGUCUGGGGAGAUGUCCGAGUGGGUUAACUGCUUGCUGUGCAAGCACGAGAACAUGAGUUCAGAUCUCUAGUGCCCAUAUAAAAACUGGAUAUGACAGCAUGGAUCUGUGCAGCCCCAGUACUGAGAGGGAAGACACAGGGGCAUCCUGAGGUCUUUGAACUGUCAGUCUAGCUGAAAUAGUUCAGCAAGAGCUCCUUGUCUCAAAACACAAGAUAGAGAGCAAUAGAGGGAAACACUUAAUGUUGACCUCUGACCUCUACUAGACAUGCACGAGCAAGGAUAUCUGUACAAACCUGUGCACACACUUUACACAUACACAAAGAUAUUCAAUAUCCCCUGAGACAUGACAUCAUUUUUAAGUUGUCUUGGUUUUUUUGGUUUUUUUUCAAGACAAGAGAUUUUCUGUGUAGCCCUGGCUGUCCUAGAACUGGAUCCAUAGACCAGGAUGACCUUGAACUCAGAAAUCCAACUGCCGCUCUACCUCCCGAGCGCUGGGAUUAAAGGUGUGCACCCCCACUGCCUGGCUUAAGUGUUCUGGGUGGGAUUUUAGGUUCAGUGUAUGCAUGCAGGUACCUGUGGAGGCCAGGGGGAUACAUGUGGUAGGAAAGGACCAAUUCCUGCAAGUUGUCCUCUGAGCCUCCCCCACAAAUGGUGAUACAUACACACAAUAGUAACUGCAGAAGAAAAAACUGAGCUGUCUAAAAGAAAGCAACUGUCAAGUAGGUCACUCUAUGAUUCUGGGACUUCUUUGUCAAAGAAUAAAUUUAAACAGGCACUGGAGAUGGUCGUGGUGAUGCAUUUGUAUAACCAGAACAUGUUAAGGGUAAACACAGAAGGAUCAGGAGUUAAGGGUCAGCUUCUGUUACAUGUCUAAUUUGAGAUCAGUCUGGACUAAAUGAGACCCUGGCACAAACAAGACACCAAAAGUUCAUUUAAUUACUAGAAAGAAUUUGGGUGAAAAGUUCAACUAGAUUAUAUGCAACACAUUCACUAAUUUGUUAUGGUUCUAAGUUUUAAGUGAAUAACUACUGAGCUCUGUACAAGAUUGAGGCUGCCAAAAAUCCCAGCAGAAACAAACACAGGGUUACACUCAUGAAGUCCCACACCUAGCUGACCAACUACUAGCAAUGGAUGCCUACCAAAGGAAGGACAAUCAGUUUUCUUCAGAGAUGUGACCAAGAAGUUACCCAUGCACUAUAAGAUGUUCUGACAUACAGGUAACACUGAAUUGACUCUGGGUUUAAGAAAAAAAGAAUAUAUAGGCCGAAGAAGUGGACAGGAGGGAAUAAGAGAUUUGAUAAAAAAAAAAACCCACUUAUAUGUAUGUAUGAAAUUCUCAAUAAAAAAAAUUAAUAACCACUGUAAACUACUAAUAUGACAAGUAAAUAUCUCUCAGGUCCUGCUGGCUUUAGAUUCCUGCCCUUAAAAGCUUAGCUUCUGCAGUAAAGAUUACUAGCUGGCCAUAAUACUCAAUGACUUUAGGGAGGAAAAAAAUCUAUCUAAAAAAAUUCAACUCAUCUUUCAAUACCUAUCUCAAAAGUUCCAUAUGCUUGGAAAUUAACCCAAACUCCCCUAAUGGAGUUUAGUGGCAUCCUUCAAUCGUCAUACUAUGUUGUAGGAAAACAGUAACACUUCCAUAGCUUCUAUAGGUACAAUUCAUACUCCAUACACACUACACAGUUAACAGAGUCUCACUAUGUAGCCCUG